rnacentral:rRNA from 1 species
AUUGAACGCUGGCGGAAUGCUUUACACAUGCAAGUCGAACGGUAGAGGGGGCAACCCCUUGAGAGUGGCGAACGGGUGAGUAAUAUAUCGGAACGUGCCCAGUCGUGGGGAUAACGUAGCGAAAGUUACGCUAAUACCGCAUACGAUCUACGGAUGAAAGCGGGGGACUCGCAAGAGCCUCGCGCGAUUGGAGCGGCCGAUAUCAGAUUAGGUAGUUGGUGGGGUAAAGGCUCACCAAGCCAACGAUCUGUAGCUGGUCUGAGAGGACGACCAGCCACACUGGAACUGAGACACGGUCCAGACUCCUACGGGAGGCAGCAGUGGGGAAUUUUGGACAAUGGACGCAAGUCUGAUCCAGCCAUUCCGCGUGCAGGAUGAAGGCCCUCGGGUUGUAAACUGCUUUUGUACGGAACGAAAAGGUUUCUAUUAAUACUAGGAGCUCAUGACGGUACCGUAAGAAUAAGCACCGGCUAACUACGUAGCCAGCAGCCGCGGUAAAGUGACU